UCCCUGUUCUAAUAUUUAAAAUAAUAAAUAAAUGUAAAUAUAGAAACAAACCCUAAACCUAAUUUAUCGUAACUUCUCACACACUCUCUCUUCUAAUGUGCUGCCUCCCAAUUUCUCUCUCAAACUCCAUCUCUUAUCUAAAAUUAACCCCACACCUCUUCCCCUCUCACGGAGGCGUUGGGGCAUGUGAUGGAGCAAGCGGUACAUAGACGAAGCACGGAAGUGGGGUUGGCGGAGCAAGUAGGUGGUGGGGUUGUUGGAACACGGCUUGCAUAGAGCGUUGAUUGCUGCGGGAGAACGAUUUUCAUUCUUCUUCUUCUUUUUUAUUUUUAGAAACACAGCAAUAUAAAAUUUGAUCUAAAGCUUAGGAAAGCUCAUUCAAGCUUAGAGUGGUGCAUGCAAAGUGCUUAAAGAUCAAAGAGAAAGUGUCAUCAAGGUGCUAGAAGUGGUCACAAAUUGAAGAACUUAUCUACAAGACCUAGAAACCCAUCUAAGGUAAGUGGAAUGAUAAAACGGAGCAAUGAGCAUUGGAGUCUCCUUUGCCCAGUAUACACGUGGCCUGACUGUGGGAUGUCAGAUGCCCUUGAAAUAUUUUUAUUAAGUGUUGAAAAAUGUUAAAGGCUCAAUCUGGAUUUUUAUUUGUUAAACUAGAUGUAAUUGCUUUAAGUAUGCAUGUACUUCAAAAAGUUUUUUAAUUUUUUUAUAUGGGAUUUUAAGACAUCUUUUUAAAUGAAAACACUAUAUUUUGGUAUUUUUA